UCAAAAACAUGUCCUUUUGUAAAUAAUUUAAGGUCUAGCCUGCCCACUGAUAUUUUAAAUGGCCGUGGUAUUUUGACCGUGCUAAGGUAGCAUAAUCAUUAGUUUUUUAAUUAAAAACUGGAAUGAAAGGUUGGAUGAGAAAAUAGCUGUCUCUAUUAAAUUUAAUUAGAAUUUUAUUUUUAAGUUAAAAAGCUUAAUUGUUAUUAAAAGACGAGAAGACCCUAUAGAGUUUAAUUAUUUAAUAAAAAUUAUAUUUUAGUAUUAAUUUAUUUAUUUUAUUGAAUAAUUUAAUUGGGGUGAUUGAAAAAUUUAAUUAACUUUUUUUAUUUAAGAACAUUAAUUUAUGAAUAAAUGAUCCGAUAUUUUUGAUUAUAAGAUAAAAUUACCUUAGGGAUAACAGCGUAAUUUUUUUAGAAAGUUCAUAUUAAAAAAAAAGAUUGCGACCUCGAUGUUGGAUUAAAAUAAAUUUUUGGUGUAGAAGCUAAAAUAUUAGGUCUGUUCGACCUUUAAAAUUUUACAUGAUCUGAG
rnacentral:rRNA from 1 species